GGGAGGCAGCAGUGAGGAAUUUUCCGCAAUGGGCGAAAGCCUGACGGAGCGACGCCGCGUGUAGGAAGAAGUCUUUCGGGAUGUAAACUACUUUCAGCAGGGACGAAAAAAAUGACGGUACCUGCAGAAGAAGCAUCGGCUAACUACGUGCCAGCAGCCGCGGUAAUACGUAGGAUGCAAGCGUUGUUCGGAAUUACUGGGCGUAAAGAGUGCGUAGGCGGUAAUGUAAGUCUGAUAUUAAAAACCGGAGCUCAACUCCGGGGCUGUAUUGGAAACUGCAUUACUAGAGGACAAUAGAGGAAGUCGGAAUUCUCAGUGUAGCGGUGAAAUGCGUAGAUAUUGGGAGGAACACCGGUGGCGAAAGCGGACUUCUGGGUUGUUACUGACGCUGAGGUACGAAAGCGUGGGGAGCAAACGGGAUUAGAUACCCCGGUAGG
rnacentral:rRNA from 1 species